GCCCCGAUUAACCGCCUUGAUCGAUUGCUCUUUCGACCGUGCUAACUCUAAUCGACCAACAUAUUUCUAAAACACAUAUUUGUAAAUAAAACUCCGAAUAAUGCAAAUGAGGAAGUAUAUGAUAAUAAUGAUUCAAUGUUCAUUAACAUUGCUGUACAACCAGGAUACCUCGAACUUCAAAUUUAACAUAAUAUAAUCUUACAAUUAUACCAUGAAUUCUAAAAUGACUUAAGGUCCCGGAAGCGUUAGCUACCUACUAGGAAUACAAUUUGAAAUCGUUCAAAGAAAAAUUUAUUGCCAUGCAGAAAUAUACCUUUGAAAUCUAGUAUUUACCGGGAGUUAGGAUAGACGCACUUAGCCAAAAAACUAUAUGCCGACCGUCCUUAUAGUAGCCAUUACAAAGGCUGCUGGAUUAUCGUGACAUACCUUCAAGAUGAGCAAUUGUUGCAAAUCCGAAAUAUUCUCUGCCGAUCCACGACAAAAUAGGAAAAAUAAUAAAUCAUACCAAGACAAGAGAGAAGCUUGGAUAAUUCCCAAUACAUUCUGCAAAUACAUUCACGACAACGUCGGACAUUUAGAUGAUAAAUACUUUCGUGCGAAAUUCACGAUUGUAAAAUGUCCAAUGAAGGAUCAUGUCCACUGAAGAUUUUAAGCGAUCAAGGAAUAUAUAUUUUACAUCUCGAAAAUCUUCAACAUCUACAAUAUCAAGCACGUACUCGAUAAAAUGGACAAUGAAACAAGUGCAGUAGGCUCAUAAGAUUAGGGUACGCAGGUAAAGAAGCUGCAAAGCGUCAUAAACAUUAUGACAGAAGGUAUCAAUAGAUGAGAAGACUACUAAUUGGGUACGAUACAAAGACCGAAGAUGGUCGAAGGGAACCAUUUACAACUAAUAUUGUACAAGGCUAAGAAAGGAUAUUGGCAAACACAACUCUGAAGAUUAAUGUGUUUAGAAGGAGCGGCACAACUGCGAGAAGAGAUAUACAGGGUGUUUCGUAACUUGUGGGACCCACUUUCGGAGCUAAUUGUACACCUAAAAAUAAUGAAAAA